rnacentral:lncRNA from 1 species
AUGAUGUUGAAUGUCUCAUCAAAGAAGAGGGGAAAAUGAGCUUUCUCCACAUGGUGGCUGGUUCAUUCGAGAGGAACUCCAAGCCCCAUACUCCUCCACAUCAAAAGCAGUCAGCAGAGGAUUCAGGCAUCUGAAUAGGAUGUCGCCCGGAUGCUUCCUAAGUAAGGUGUUCUGGGCAUGUUAAACCAGGAGGAGCCCCGAGGAAAGACCCAGGACACACUGGAGAAAUUAUUCCUUUUGAUUGGCCUGGGAAUGCCUCAGUGUUGUCCCAGAUGAGUUGGGUCUUCUCUGCUUAGGCUUCUCUCCCCACUGUCCAGCCUCAGAUAAGUAACAGAAAAUGGCUCAAUGGAUCCAUGGAUAACAUGAUUUACUCAUGUCUUAAAAUGAAGCUUCAAUGCAACUGUAUUAGAUCUUAUGGGAAAAAAAGUAUCAUAACUUAUAUUUUUUUAUAAAUUGAGUCUGCACAAAAACAUAACACAGUGAUCAUUGGCACGUCGUGUGAUGUGGAAAGAGAUGAUAACGGUGUGGGCCGUCCAGCUUUGAGGUUGUAAUUGCCGGAAGAGAAUUUUGCUGCUGAGGAUGACGUUUGGCUCCAAAUUUGAAACUCACCACAAGAGAGUGACUAAUAAUCAUUUAACUGCUUUGACUGCUUCCCAAGGUUCAAGUGGACUAUGUUCAUACAGCUGAUUUUUUUUUUUCCACAUUCCAGGCUUUGAUGACCAAUCAGACGCCAGUAAAGAUGGGCUGGUGCAUAGAGGAGGGUCACUUUCUUUAGGUUAUAUUAAUCCAUCGUUCCCCUGCUCCACUCAGAAGGACAGAGACUCAGGAUGGCCCGGCCUCUGCAGCUCAUUAUCGUGGUCUCCUCCUUAAUAGCUGCCUCUCUGUGUGAUGUCUGUGUGGAAGCUGUUUUAGGAAGACAGUUCACAUUUCCAGAAAACUGCAGCAAUGAUGGAGGAAAACUGUUUCGGUGUGAGCCGCAUGGGGAGGUGGAGGUGGCUGUUCACCAGCAAGGUGUGUGGACACCUGCUCAAGGCUACGAAGACCGUAUCAGUAACAAUUCCUCCAUUAUCUUCUAUCACGCAUUUUCCAAUGAUAGCGGGGAUUUUGUGUUAAGGUGUAGAGAAGGCGCGCAAAUUAAAAUUAAAGUUAAAGUUCUGCUUCCCUUUAAUGUAACAGUCAACGAGGGAGAAAAGGCCACCUUCCCGUGCUUUUAUCAACCUACCUGCAGCAAGUCUGAGACUGCACAGUGUGUGAAAAACGGGCAGAAUUUCACCAGAGACAAAGGAAACAAGUGUGCUGAUGGCCGACUCUCUCUGUCACCUAAACGAGACUGUUGCCCAAACGUAACACGAGCUGAGAAGCAAGACGGAGGAGAUUAUUUUUGUUACAUCCAGUGUGGAGGGAAACGGUUCGCAGCUGUUGUGAGGCUAAAGGUCAACGGGGCAUCCACUUCACCGCCUGCGUCUAAACCACAACAAGCCUGA